CGGUUCUUUUUUUGUUUUUGUUUUUCCAGAGAUGUGCUUUGCUCUUCAGAUGGCGGUCGUGCCGUGUCUGGGGCUGAUGCUGACAAAGACAGGAGGGUGCGAAACCUGAUCAUUCAGGAAGACUUUUGUGGUCACACCGCUGCCGGGGAGGCUCCUGCCCUGAUGCUGACGGCUGCGGACCAUCAGGCUGUGGCAACUUCUCAAACGUCCUCACCAGGAGCAGAUUCCAUCUCCAGAAACCACUUUCUUGGCUCCUCCACCAGGAGCAGCUCCUCACCUGGUUCAAGUUUUGUCACGAGACGCAGCCGUUCAGUCUCAUCCUCAGGCUCCACACCUGGUUC